GUGAUGAAGAAGGACUUCAUUAAGCUCAACACCUCCACGAGAAGCUGGUGAAAGACGAUUUUGUACUGCAGAUCAACUCACCAUGGAGCUACCCAAAGAAACAGUCUGGUACAUUCAUUGCUAAAAUCCGGUCCGUGUGAGAGCGUGUUUUGGUUUGCCGAACCUCAGGGACCGGCUGGCUCCCCCAGGACUAAGCGCCCCUCAUAGGGUGGGAUAAAGAGGGUAUCCUUUACAGAGCAGGCCUUCAUCCACUCCCCCACCCCCACGGAGCACAGGCUACAUCAAUCGACACCACCAACCCUAUUGUCUGCACCGGGAUGUAAUCAGGUAAAGCUGCCAGCGACACUGAUUGAUUACUCCACAUCUAAUUUCUCUUGCUGGGAGCAACUACAUCUGGAGCUGAGUGCACACACUUCGGAGGCCGUCACCUGUCAAUCAUUCCUGUAAUUGAUGAUUCGGCCAAUCCUGUGUCUGCUCAACCCCCUGCAAAAGAAACUUGUACUGUAUCCACUCAGAACAGCCAGCUGCCAGUCAAAGCCAUAGUCACACACAGUCUUUUCCCCUGCUAGACAAAAUCAGUCAAUCCCUUUUCUCACAGUUCGUCCAUAUAGAAUCAACCCUGCUGUCAAUCAGACCGCAGGCUGUUGAAUCCUUUUUGAAGAGGGUCGAAUCAAAUCACAAUAGUGAUGGUACUGAUGUAAUGUUACAGAAUGAAGGCUGAGGUUGCUAAUGCAGCAAGACCGAGGCGUCCCUGAAGAUCCUGGACUCUUAAUUAUGGUGAAAUAAUCAGUGCGUGCAGCGUAGCCUCGGGCUGCCAGCCCCAGAGGUGAGCUCUACACAGACACACAGAGAACACAGAGCAGAGAAGAUACUGGUACUUCUCUGAAAACACUGUGUAGUUCAGCCAAAGUGGACAGGUUUAGAUUCAUCUGUGACAAAGGUAUUAAUGAUCUGGUUUUUAAAUGUCAUUAUAAAACACAAUAGAUGGGCUAUAAUGGCCUAACAGAUAUAUCUGAUUUAGUCAAAAAAAGACACUUUCUUUUGUCAGUGGAAAUGUUAUGAAUGCAAUGGGAUUAAGUGCACCUGUGUGAACUUACUUCAUACAUUCAUUAAAAAUCACCUUGGCACCAGUAGUUGAAGAAGUUGCCAAUGCCAUUUGGCUUGAUAUUUACAUGUAAUGCAGUGACAUUCAAUGUUCACUGUCAUGGGUCAGACAACCUAUAAUCCCACCCCAAAUUCACACUUUUUGGGAAAAUCAGUCAAAUACAAAUGUCUUACUUCUAGUGUUAUCUGCAAGUGGGAAGAAAAGCAUUUUAAAAGAAUAGUUC